GAGGGUAUAGCUCAGUGGUAGGGUGCAUGGCUAGCAUGCACGAGGUCCUGGGUUCAAUCCUUGGUACCUUUA
rnacentral:tRNA from 1 species